rnacentral:tRNA from 1 species
AAAAACUAGGUGUUUAUAGCAUGUUUUGUUUUGGUCAAAAAGGUGGUUUAGGGUUAGUGCCAGUUUUUA